GAUGAACGCUAGCGAUAGGCUUAACACAUGCAAGUCGAGGGGCAGCACGGAGCAAGCUUGCUUGCUUGGGUGGCGACCGGCGCACGGGUGCGUAACGCGUAUGCAACCUACCCAUAAGAGGGGGAUAGCCCCUCGAAAGAGGGAGUAAUACCACAUAGUAAGCAUUUCCCGCAUGAGAGAUGCUUUAAACAAAUUGGCUUAUGGAUGGGCAUGCGUUGCAUUAGGUAGUUGGUAGGGUACGGCCUACCAAGCCGACGAUGGAUAGGGGUCCUGAGAGGGAGGUCCCCCACACUGGUACGGAGACACGGACCAGACUGCUACGGGAGGCAGCAGUGAGGAAUAUUGGUCAAUGGGCGAAAGCCUGAACCAGCCAAAUCGCGUGAAGGAAGAAGGUGUUAUGCAUUGUAAACUUCUUUUGUCAGGGAAUAAAGUGCACCACGCGUGGUGUUUUGUAUGGACCUGAAGAAUAAAGACCGGCUAAUUCCGUGCCAGCAGCCGCGGUAAUAC
rnacentral:rRNA from 1 species